rnacentral:rRNA from 1 species
CCUACGGGAGGCAGCAGUGAGGAAUAUUGGUCAAUGGGCGCGAGCCUGAACCAGCCAAGUCGCGUGAGGGAAGACGGUCCUAUGGAUUGUAAACCUCUUUUGUCGGGGAGCAAAAGACGCCACGCGUGGCGCUCCGAGAGUACCCGAAGAAUAAGCAUCGGCUAACUCCGUACCAGCAGCCGCGGUAAUACGGAGGAUGCGAGCGUUAUCCGGAUUUAUUGGGUUUAAAGGGUGCGCAGGCGGAAGAUCAAGUCAGCGGUAAAAUUGAGAGGCUCAACCUCUUCGAGCCGUUGAAACUGGUUUGCUUGAGUGAGUGAGAGGUAUGCGGAAUGCGUGGUGUAGCGGUGAAAUGCAUAGAUAUCACGCAGAACUCCGAUUGCGAAGGCAGCAUACCGGCGCUCAACUGACGCUCAUGCACGAAAGUGUGGGUAUCGAACAGGAUUAGAUACCCUUGUAGUC